GUGAGGAAUUUUGCGCAAUGGGGGCAACCCUGACGCAGCGACGCCGCGUGGAGGACGAAGUCUUUCGGGAUGUAAACUCCUGUCAGUGGGGACGAUAAUGACGGUACCCACAGAGGAAGCACCGGCUAACUCCGUGCCAGCAGCCGCGGUAAGACGGAGGGUGCAAGCGUUGUUCGGAAUUACUGGGCGUAAAGCGUAUGUAGGCGGCAAGUUAAGUUCGAUGUUAAAGCCCACGGCUCAACCGAGGAGAUGCAUUGAAUACUGGCUAGCUAGAGGGUGUUAGAGGAAGACGGAAUUCCCAGUGUAGCGGUGAAAUGCGUAGAUAUUGGGAGGAACAUCGGUAGCGAAAGCGGUCUUCUGGGACAUACCUGACGCUGAGGUACGAAAGCGUGGGGAGCAAACGGGAUUAGAUACCCCAGUAGUCC
rnacentral:rRNA from 1 species